rnacentral:sRNA from 1 species
UUUUGUGAUCAAAAAUGACUUGAUGAGAUCUAUAUGAUUGAGUAGAAGAACUUAAACUACAACUGGAUCUUAAAAGCCUAAGUAGUGUUUCCUUGUUAGAAGAUACAAAGCCAAAGUCUCAUACGAACUUUAGCUACACAAUCAAAGCGUUGAGAAGCAAGAAGAAGCUUGGUUAGUGUUUUAGAGUCAAAUAUUACUAGAUGUCAUGUGUAUGAGUGAGUAUAACAACUAGAACCGCAUCCAGAUUUUAAAAGCAUAAGUAUUGUAUCCUUGUUAGAAGAUACAAAGACAAAGACUCAUACGGACUUCAGCUACACCAUCAAAGCUUUGAGAAGCAGGAUGAAGCUUGGUUAGUGUUUUGGAGUCAAAUAUGACUUGAUGUGAUGUGUAUGAUUGAGUAUAAGAACUUAAACCGCAACCCAAGCUUAAAAGCCUAAGUAGUAUUUCAUUGUUAGAAGAUACAAAGCCAAAGCCUCAUACGGACUUUAGCUACACCAUCAAAGCUUUGAGAAGCCAGAAGAAGCUUGGUUAGUGUUUUGGAGUCAAUAUUAUUAGAUGUCAUGUGUAUGAGUGAGUAUGACAAAUAGAACCC